UGGAGAGGUGGCAUCAGUUCUAGAAUUAGAAUCUGCAGCAGGCUGCUUGUCAUGGUCAGGUCUCCUGGAGCUGCCAUUAUAACCCACUUGUGUCCCUGGGCAACUUCUGAGCAGAUGAGUGGACCUGGCGCGGGUAGGGAAGGCAGCCACGGACCCCACUUUCCCCGGACCUGGAAUUAGACCCUGGAUUGAUACUUGUCUUCCACCCCAGAGACUGUUAUUCCUUGUAGGGAUGUGAUCAGCUUCAAUAUGGUCUCCUAUCAAUUUUGUCACCAAAUGGCUGGAAAGUGUUCAUCGGUUG
rnacentral:lncRNA from 1 species